UUAAGCGACUAAGCGUACACGGUGGAUGCCCUGGCAGUCAGAGGCGAUGAAGGACGUGCUAAUCUGCGAAAAGCGUCGGUAAGGUGAUAUGAACCGUUAUAACCGGCGAUGUCCGAAUGGGGAAACCCAGUGUGAUUCGUCACACUAUCGUUAACUGAAUACAUAGGUUAACGAGGCGAACCGGGGGAACUGAAACAUCUAAGUACCCCGAGGAAAAGAAAUCAACCGAGAUUCCCCCAGUAGCGGCGAGCGAACGGGGAGCAGCCCAGAGUCUGAAUCAGCUUGUGUGUUAGUGGAACGGUCUGGAAAGUCCGACGGUACAGGGUGAUAGUCCCGUACACCAAAAUGCACAGGCUGUGAACUCGAAGAGUAGGGCGGGACACGUGGUAUCCUGUCUGAAUAUGGGGGGACCAUCCUCCAAGGCUAAAUACUCCUGACUGACCGAUAGUGAACCAGUACCGUGAGGGAAAGGCGAAAAGAACCCCGGCGAGGGGAGUGAAAAAGAACCUGAAACCGUGUACGUACAAGCAGUGGGAGCACCUUCGGGUGUGACUGCGUACCUUUUGUAUAAUGGGUCAGCGACUUAUAUUCUGUAGCAAGGUUAACCGUAUAGGGGAGCCGCAGGGAAACCGAGUCUUAACUGGGCGUUAAGUUGCAGGGUAUAGACCCGAAACCCGGUGAUCUAGCCAUGGGCAGGUUGAAGGUUGGGUAACACUAACUGGAGGACCGAACCGACUAAUGUUGAAAAAUUAGCGGAUGACUUGUGGCUGGGGGUGAAAGGCCAAUCAAACCGGGAGAUAGCUGGUUCUCCCCGAAAGCUAUUUAGGUAGCGCCUCGUGAAUUCAUCUUCGGGGGUAGAGCACUGUUUCGGCUAGGGGGUCAUCCCGACUUACCAACCCGAUGCAAACUACGAAUACCGAAGAAUGUUAUCACGGGAGACACACGGCGGGUGCUAACGUCCGUCGUGAAGAGGGAAACAACCCAGACCGCCAGCUAAGGUCCCAAAGUCAUGGUUAAGUGGGAAACGAUGUGGGAAGGCACAGACAGCCAGGAUGUUGGCUUAGAAGCAGCCAUCAUUUAAAGAAAGCGUAAUAGCUCACUGGUCGAGUCGGCCUGCGCGGAAGAUGUAACGGGGCUAAACCAUGCACCGAAGCUGCGGCAGCGACACUAUGUGUUGUUGGGUAGGGGAGCGUUCUGUAAGCCUGCGAAGGUGUGCUGUGAGGCAUGCUGGAGGUAUCAGAAGUGCGAAUGCUGACAUAAGUAACGAUAAAGCGGGUGAAAAGCCCGCUCGCCGGAAGACCAAGGGUUCCUGUCCAACGUUAAUCGGGGCAGGGUGAGUCGACCCCUAAGGCGAGGCCGAAAGGCGUAGUCGAUGGGAAACAGGUUAAUAUUCCUGUACUUGGUGUUACUGCGAAGGGGGGACGGAGAAGGCUAUGUUAGCCGGGCGACGGUUGUCCCGGUUUAAGCAUGUAGGCUGGUUAUCCAGGCAAAUCCGGAUAAUCAAGGCUGAGGUGUGAUGACGAGGCACUACGGUGCUGAAGUAACAAAUGCCCUGCUUCCAGGAAAAGCCUCUAAGCAUCAGGUAACAUCAAAUCGUACCCCAAACCGACACAGGUGGUCAGGUAGAGAAUACCAAGGCGCUUGAGAGAACUCGGGUGAAGGAACUAGGCAAAAUGGUGCCGUAACUUCGGGAGAAGGCACGCUGGUGUGUAGGUGAAGUCCCUGCGGAUGGAGCUGAGACCAGUCGAAGAUACCAGCUGGCUGCAACUGUUUAUUAAAAACACAGCACUGUGCAAACACGAAAGUGGACGUAUACGGUGUGACGCCUGCCCGGUGCCGGAAGGUUAAUUGAUGGGGUUAUCCGUAAGGAGAAGCUCUUGAUCGAAGCCCCGGUAAACGGCGGCCGUAACUAUAACGGUCCUAAGGUAGCGAAAUUCCUUGUCGGGUAAGUUCCGACCUGCACGAAUGGCGUAAUGAUGGCCAGGCUGUCUCCACCCGAGACUCAGUGAAAUUGAACUCGCUGUGAAGAUGCAGUGUACCCGCGGCAAGACGGAAAGACCCCGUGAACCUUUACUAUAGCUUGACACUGAACAUUGAGCCUUGAUGUGUAGGAUAGGUGGGAGGCUUUGAAGCGUGGACGCCAGUCUGCGUGGAGCCAACCUUGAAAUACCACCCUUUAAUGUUUGAUGUUCUAACGUUGGCCCCUGACCGGGGUUGCGGACAGUGUCUGGUGGGUAGUUUGACUGGGGCGGUCUCCUCCCAAAGCGUAACGGAGGAGCACGAAGGUUAGCUAAUCCUGGUCGGACAUCAGGAGGUUAGUGCAAUGGCAUAAGCUAGCUUGACUGCGAGCGUGACGGCGCGAGCAGGUGCGAAAGCAGGUCAUAGUGAUCCGGUGGUUCUGAAUGGAAGGGCCAUCGCUCAACGGAUAAAAGGUACUCCGGGGAUAACAGGCUGAUACCGCCCAAGAGUUCAUAUCGACGGCGGUGUUUGGCACCUCGAUGUCGGCUCAUCACAUCCUGGGGCUGAAGUAGGUCCCAAGGGUAUGGCUGUUCGCCAUUUAAAGUGGUACGCGAGCUGGGUUUAGAACGUCGUGAGACAGUUCGGUCCCUAUCUGCCGUGGGCGCUGGAGAAUUGAGGGGGGCUGCUCCUAGUACGAGAGGACCGGAGUGGACGCAUCACUGGUGUUCGGGUUGUCAUGCCAAUGGCACUGCCCGGUAGCUAAAUGCGGAAGAGAUAAGUGCUGAAAGCAUCUAAGCACGAAACUUGCCCCGAGAUGAGUUCUCCCUGAGACUUUAAGUCUCCUGAAGGAACGUUAAAGACGAUGACGUUGAUAGGCCGGGUGUGUAAGCGCAGCGAUGCGUUGAGCUAACCGGUACUAAUGAACCGUGAGGCUUAACCUU
rnacentral:rRNA from 1 species